rnacentral:lncRNA from 1 species
GGCCGAGACGCUAACAGACAGACAAGGUGGAGAUGAGUGGCCGAGACGCGCACGGACAGGACAGACAAGGCUGAGAUGAGUGGCCGAGACGCGCAUGGACAAGGCGGAGAUGAGUGGCCGAGACGCGCACGGACAGACAAGGCGGAGAUGAGUGGCCGAGAUGCUAACAGACAGACAAGGCGGAGAUGAGUGGCCGAGAUGCUAACAGACAGACAAGGCGGAGAUGAGUGGCCGAGACGCUAACAGACAGACAAGGCGGAGAUGAGUGGCCGAGACACGCACAGACAGACAAGGUGGAGAUGAGUGGCCGAGACGCUAACAGACAGACAAGGUGGAGAUGAGUGGCCGAGACGCGCACGGACAGGACAGACAAGGCUGAGAUGAGUGGCCGAGACGCGCAUGGACAAGGUGGAGAUGAGUGGCCGAGACGCGCACGGACAGACAAGGCGGAGAUGAGUGGCCGAGACGCUAACAGACAGACAAGGCGGAGAUGAGUGUCCGAGACGCGCACGGACAGACAAGGUGGAGAUGAGUGGCCGAGACGCUAACAGACAGACAAGGCGGAGAUGAGUGUCCGAGACGCGCACGGACAGACAAGGUGGAGAUGAGUGGCCGAGACGCUAACAGACAGACAAGGCGGAGAUGAGUCGCCGAGACGCGCACGGACAGACAAGGUGGAGAUGAGUGGCCGAGACGCUAACAGACAGACAAGGCGGAGAUGAGUGGCCGAGAUGCUAACAGACAGACAAGGUGGAGAUGAGUGGCCGAGACGCUAACAGACAGACAAGGUGGAGAUGAGUGGCCGAGACGCGCACGGACAGGACAGACAAGGCGGAGAUGAGUGGCCGAGACGCGCACGGACAAGGUGGAGAUGAGUGGCCGAGACGCGCACGGACAGACAAGGCGGAGAUGAGUGGCCGAGACGCUAACAGACAGACAAGGCGGAGAUGAGUGGCCGAGACGCGCACAGACAGACAAGGUGGAGAUGAGUGGCCAAGACGCGCACGGACAGAAAAGGCGGAGAUGAGUGGCCAAGACGCGCACGGACAGAAAAGGCGGAGAUGAGUGGCCGAGACGCUAACAGACAGACAAGGUGGAGAUGAGUGGCCAAGACGCGCACAGACAGACAAGGUGGAGAUGAGUGGCCAAGACGCGCACGGACAGACAAGGUGGAGAUGAGUGGCCGAGACGCGCACGGACAGACAAGGCGGAGAUGAGUGGCCGAGACGCUCACGGACAGACAAGGUGGAGAUGAGUGGCCGAGACGCUAACAGACAGACAAGGCGGAGAUGAGU